rnacentral:rRNA from 1 species
GACGAACGCUGGCGGCGUGCUUAACACAUGCAAGUCGAACGGAAAGGCCCUGCUUUUGUGGGGUGCUCGAGUGGCGAACGGGUGAGUAACACGUGAGUAACCUGCCCUUGACUUUGGGAUAACUUCAGGAAACUGGGGCUAAUACCGGAUAGGAGCUCCUGCUGCAUGGUGGGGGUUGGAAAGUUUCGGCGGUUGGGGAUGGACUCGCGGCUUAUCAGCUUGUUGGUGGGGUAGUGGCUUACCAAGGCUUUGACGGGUAGCCGGCCUGAGAGGGUGACCGGCUACAUUGGGACUGAGAUACGGCCCAGACUCCUACGGGAGGCAGCAGUGGGGAAUAUUGCACAAUGGGCGGAAGCCUGAUGCAGCAACGCCGCGUGCGGGAUGACGGCCUUCGGGUUGUAAACCGCUUUCGCCGGUGACGAAGCGUGAGUGACGGUAAUGGGUAAAGAAGCACCGGCUAACUACGUG